rnacentral:snoRNA from 1 species
UUAAACAUUUUUGGAAAAACUAUCAGCCUUGUGUGUAGUGGCCGCAAAUGGCAGCCUUCUUGGGAAUGCAUGAGCCUGUUGCCUAUAUAUGUUGCUCUAAGAAGCCUUGGAGACAAUU